rnacentral:tRNA from 1 species
GGGAAGGUGGCUCAGUGGUAGAGCGCUUGCCUUGCAUGCAUGAGGCCCCAGGUUCGAUUCCUCAGUACCA